rnacentral:lncRNA from 1 species
CGACCGUGCAUUUUUACCCACCCUCACCACCCUUUCCGUCCUUCAAAACGAGAUAUCUCAACCCUCCGCUCCAUCUUCCACUUCCCGUGCUAUUCUCGUCGACGAUGAUGCCACCACAUCAGAAAUUGACGACAUCGUGAAUUGCGAAAGAAGCUCCUCACUCAAGCCACUCAAGGUUUUCAUGUAUGAUAUGCCUCCUGAAUUCCAUUUCGAGCUCUUAGAUUGGAAAGCUGAGGUGAAUGGCAGUGUAUGGCCUGAUAUAACAAAACACAUACCAGGUUACCCAGGUGGGUUGA